rnacentral:tRNA from 1 species
GGGGGUAUAGCUCAGUGGUAGAGCAUUUGACUGCAGGUUAAGCGGUCCUUAGUUCAAAUCUGGGUGCCCCCU